GUUGAACGCUGGCGGCAGGCCUAACACAUGCAAGUCGAGCGAGCGGCGGACGGGUGAGUAAUGUCUGGGAAACUGCCCGAUGGAGGGGGAUAACUACUGGAAACGGUAGCUAAUACCGCAUACCAUCGGAUGUGCCCCGAUGGGAUUAGCUAGUAGGUGGGGUAAAGGCUCACCUAGGCGACGAUCCCUCGCUGGUCUGAGAGGAUGACCAGCCACACUGGAACGGAGACACGGUCCAGACUCCUACGGGAGGCAGCAGUGGGGAAUAUUGCACAAUGGGGGAAAGCCGGAUGCAGCCAUGCCGCGUGUAUGAAGAAGGCCUGCGGGUUGUAAAGUACUUUCGGCGGGGAGGCGUUACCCGCAGAAGAAGCACCGGCUAACUCCGUGCCAGCAGCCGCGGUAAUUC
rnacentral:rRNA from 1 species